rnacentral:rRNA from 1 species
UACAGAGGUCUCGAGCGUUAGGCGGAAUCACUGGGCUUAAAGCGUGUGUAGGCGGAUCGUUAAGUACCUUGUGAAAUCCCACGGCUCAACCGUGGAACGGCUGGGUAUACUGGCGGUCUUGGGCCAUUCAGGGGCGACUGGAACAAGCGGUGGAGCGGUGAAAUGCGUAGAUAUCGCUUGGAACGCCGAAGGUGAAAACAGGUCGCUGGGGAUGUGCCGACGCUGAGACACGAAAGCCAGGGGAGCAAACGGG